rnacentral:rRNA from 1 species
UACGUAGGGUGCGAGCGUUAAUCGGAAUUACUGGGCGUAAAGAGUGCGUAGGCGGUUCUUGAAGUCCGCUGUGAAAGCCCCGGGCUUAACCUGGGAAUGGCAGUGGAAACUGGGGGACUUGAAUUGAGCAGAGGGGGGUGGAAUGCCGCGUGUAGCAGUGAAAUGCGUAGAGAUGCGGCGGAACACCGAUGGCGAAGGCAGCCCCCUGGGCUUAAAUUGACGCUGAGGUACGAAAGCGUGGGGAGCAAACAGG